UACGUAGGGUGCGAGCGUUAAUCGGAAUUACUGGGCGUAAAGCGUGCGCAGGCGGUUUGCUAAGACCGAUGUGAAAUCCCCGGGCUUAACCUGGGAACUGCAUUGGUGACUGGCAGGCUAGAGUAUGGCAGAGGGGGGUAGAAUUCCACGUGUAGCAGUGAAAUGCGUAGAGAUGUGGAGGAAUACCGAUGGCGAAGGCAGCCCCCUGGGCCAAUACUGACGCUCAUGCCACGAAAGCGUGGGGAGCAAACGAGGAUACGAAACCC
rnacentral:rRNA from 1 species